rnacentral:rRNA from 1 species
GGUUUCUUGUAAGUGAUAAGAAAUCUGACCUGCCCAAUGAAUAUUAAAUGGCCGCGGUAUUUUGACCGUGCGAAGGUAGCAUAAUCAUUAGUCUUUUAAUUGUAGACUGGAAUGAAUGGUUGGACGAAAUAACAACUUUUUUAUUUUUAAGUGUUGAAUUUCACUUUUUAGUGAAGAGGCUAAAAUAUAACCAAAAGACAAGAAGACCCUAUCAAGUUUUAUUAUAAAUUAUUGUUAAUGAGAGGUAUAUUUAAAAUAAAUAUUAAUUUUGCUGGGGCGGUAGGUUGAAAACUAAUGAAGAUCCAAAAUUUUUGAUUGGUUGAUUAAAUUACUGUAGGGAUAACAGCGUAAUCUUAUUUGAGAGUUCAUAUCGACAAUAAGGGUUGCGACCUCGAUGUUGGAUUAGAAUACCUUCUUGGAGCAGAAUCUAAGAGUGGUGGUCUGUUCGACCAUUAAAAUUCUACA